rnacentral:rRNA from 1 species
GGGUCAGUAGGUUGGUCGUGCCACCGGUACGUACUGGUCUCACUGAUUCCUCCUUCCCGAAGAACCGUAAUGCCAUUAAUUUGGUGUUGCGGGGAAACAGGACUGUUACUUUGAAAAAAUUAGAGUGUUUAAAGCAAGCUAACGCUUGAAUGCAUUAGCAUGGAAUAAUGAAAUAGGACGAUCGAUCCUAUUUUGUUGGUUUCUAGGAUUGACGUA